ensembl:rRNA 5_8S_rRNA 5.8S ribosomal RNA
AAUUCUUAGCGAUGGAUCACUUGGCUCUGCAUCGAUGAAGAACACAGCUAGCUGCGAGAAUUAAGGUGAAUUGCCAGACGCAUUGAUCACGUGGACACUUCGAAUGCACUUGUGUCUCCGGGUUCCUCCUGGGUUAUGCCUGUCUAAGCUUCA